GGUCAGUGAUGAGAUUUGACAUCUAUCUGAAUCUAAAGUUGAUGUGGUUGUAACACAUAGCUCUAGAAUUACUCUGAGACCUG